ensembl:lncRNA
CUGGAGUCACUGGGCACCACAGUCCAGCGACGGCUGCCUAACAGUCACUUGGCUGGAGAGAGUCAGCUGCGAUCAUGCUGUGCCGCUUUCCCAGGCCUCGAGGCCGCAGCAACAGGACCCUGUGCAGGGAAAGGACUUGGGCGUGAGUGAGAGGAUGGGUGGCUAAGUCCUCAUGCUUCAGGCCACUCACCAGGAACUGCCUGGCCAUCAGGGGCAGCACAGGGCGGGUCUCACCAGACCCAGAGACCUGGGGACCUGAGAUGAGCGGGAGCCCAGGGCAGAUCUCCCUGGACCUGGACCCCAGACACUUGGGGCCACCGAGUCCAGGACAGGUCCAGUCAGGCCCGGCCACCGCUACUGGGGCCCAACGGGAGGAGAGCCGGCAGAGGACUGCAUGGUAAGGAUGGUGCUGGCAGGCAUGCAGCACCCCCUGAGGGAGCCCCCAGAAUGGGAUGUCCUGGACAGCUGCCCCAUCCAUGCAGACUCCCUCCUGGACCCCUCUGGGGCCUGCAUUCCCACCCUGCAGGAGGGGAUGGUGCCAAGGUGAGCUCUGUGGUUGGCACCCAGGGGCCCUUGGCCACUGUGGCCCCAAGUCUUUGGAAGGUAUGAACCCUGCCUCAGCCUGCUCGCAACUCUGAGCAACAGGGCGCUGAGAAAAUCGGGCUCUCCGCAUCACUGCGGGGCAGAGCUGUGGUCUCCAGGGCAGUGCUGACCCGAGCCUGCCGGAUUCCCUUCCAUCCCUGGCCGGCUGUGCUUUGCCCCACUGAGCCCUGCACAGGGGAAGGCUGUCCGUUGCCUGUAAAGGAGACCACAGAGUGACUCGGCAGGCCUCUGGUCUUCCCAGAGCAGGAGUCUGUGGGGAUGUGAAUGGUCCAGGCCCACUGACCUCAGGGAAGAGCAGGUGGGGUCCCCAUUCCAUGGAUGUAUGUGAAGACACACUGUGUGCAGACCUUUCCCAGGGCUCGGCUGUGAUUGCCAGUAGCCAGAGCAGAUGCAACCCCUGCCCUCUGGGGCUUCAGCGCUGUUUGAGGUCCUCAGUCACCCUGGACAGCUGAGCAAGCAUUCCUCGCACUGCAGUAGAUGGCACUUUCCCGGCCUCCCUAGAUGUGGAUCCACAGCAGUGCAAGAGGAGCCCAGGAGCGGCAUAGACUCCGGGCAGCACAGCGCUGCAGAGCUGAAGCCUGAGGAGAGUCCUCCUUUUUUGUCCUCCACUUCUUGGUGCAGCUACACUCCCAGGAGAAUCCACCAGCUGAACUCCUGGCCCAGCUGGAGCAAGCAGAGCCCACUGAGGCACAGCCCAUGGGCGAGGAGGACGGGGUGUAGGCCUGUGGGACCAGCUCCACCCCCAGCUGAAGUCCCAUGUGCGGAGCCCGAGCCAGCUCCACCUGCAGCUUCCUGCCCAGGGCUGGGACCACAGCCAGAGUCCAUGGCAGCCGCUUCACCUGCUGCAGUGCUGGGGCACCCGGUGGUUGCACGGCUGUCGGUGUCACCUCCUGAGCUCCGCCUGGGGCCAGCUCCUGGCCCCCUCCCACUGUUCCCCUCACUUAUGCUGGCUCUUGUUUUGGUAUUUACAAUUGCCCUUAUUUCUUG